UGUUGCGUUAGCGAGGCGUGGACGCGUUGACGAGAGGCUGCCCCUCUAGGGGCUGCCGGUUAGUUAAGAAGCGCUGCGCGAUAAAUCAGUUAAGGCCCGAAUUUAGCUGUCUUCUCUGGUUUUGCUGAAGGCCAACUGAGGAUGUUUUGGCCUGGAAGUCCCAGGGUGUACACACUCUAAUAGAGUGAUGAAGCCUGCGCAGACUUGAGAGUUUUGGUCCUAUUGGUUGGGAAUACUAGUCCCAGCAGUGUGUUUAUUUGAACAGAAACUUCUCACAACAAAACAAGCAGAGGUGGCAUGGAGCCCAUCAUAAAGACGUGGCAUCGAUACUGGACUUGUUCCUAUGCUGGUGUGUGGCAGAGACCACAUACCUUGUUAGUAGAGAAAGUGUACCUCCCACUCAGUCUUGCUCUCUUACAUGGAAGGCACAUCAUGACCAGUGACUCUGUCUUCUGCAAGCCUGGAGAUGAGGUGGCCACAAGACUGAUAGGGACUGCUGGUGGCCAGUGCACCCUUGUGGACAGUAUUGGUCCUAAUUUGGUCAUUUUAAGCAAGGAUGUAACCAUAAACACCACCCUGCGUCCAGAAAUUAAGGUUUCCUAAACAAUUCUCAGAAGGCAGUUCCUGGCAGCACUUAAACCCCAAGAAAGCAAAGAGAAGCCUGAAACAAAAUCCAGAUGCCUUUCACAGAACAUUCGCUUUGUUAUGGAGGGCAGUGCUGCCAAAGAGAAAUGACCUCUCAGGCUUACCAUACAUUGUCCCAAACGGUGUCCUCAGAAAAGUAAACGUAGUGCCACAUAGAUUAAUGUGCUACAAAGUAAGAAUGUCCAGGAACCUUGGGAAUGUCUGUGCUCCCAUGAGAUGGAAAGGAUCAGCAAGCCCACUUCCCGUAUUGUCUGUCCUGAGGCACUCUGCCAGAAGGCCAUCCAACAGGUGCCUGGGCAUCACGGUCCAUAUCUCAGCAACUUUUGGGUCCUCAUUUGUGUGGCACCCUCUGGAAUGGUGUGCAGUAAUUUUUCUCAUCGGCAGUAGAAGAAAAAGCCCUGUGAAGUUCAGUACUGUUUGCUGUAAAGAUUAUCGUUGAAG